rfam:Schistosoma margrebowiei strain Zambia genome assembly, scaffold: SMRZ_scaffold0004212
AGCUUUUCGAAUCCGUGCUGAGAUUUCGUCCAAUACCAGCACAUUAGGGCUGAUCAGACUUCCAAGAUAAGUGAAGUU